rnacentral:rRNA from 1 species
GGCUCAGGAUUAACGCUAGCGGCAGGCCUAAUACAUGCAAGUCGAACGGCAGCGGGUCCAGCAAUGGAUGCCGGCGAGUGGCGCACGGGUGCGUAACGCGUAUGCAACCUACCUUUGACUGGGGGAUAGCCCCGAGAAAUCGGGAUUAAUACCCCAUAAUAUUGCGAAGAGGCAUCUCUUUACAAUUAAAGCUCCGGCGGUCUUAGAUGGGCAUGCGUGACAUUAGCUAGUUGGUGAGGUAACGGCUCACCAAGGCUUCGAUGUCUAGGGGUUCUGAGAGGAUUUUCCCCCACACUGGUACUGAGACACGGACCAGACUCCUACGGGAGGCAGCAGUAAGGAAUAUUGGGCAAUGGGCGCAAGCCUGACCCAGCCAUGCCGCGUGAAGGAUGACGGCCCUAUGGGUUGUAAACUUCUUUUGUACGGGAAAAAUUCCCUGGUUUCGUACCGGGGUUGAUGGUACCGUAAGAAUAAGCAUCGGCUAACUCCGUGCCAGCAGCCGCGGUAAUACGGAGGAUGCAAGCGUUAUCCGGAUUCAUUGGGUUUAAAGGGUGCGCAGGCGGAUUGAUAAGUCAGUGGUGAAAUCCUAGAGCUUAACUCUAGAACUGCCAUUGAUACUGCCAAUCUUGAGUACACUUGAAGUGGGCGGAAUGUGUCAUGUAGCGGUGAAAUGCUUAGAUAUGACACAGAACACCGAUCGCGAAGGCAGCUCACUAAGUUGUAACUGACGCUCAGGCACGAAAGCGUGGGGAUCAAACAGGAUCAGAUACCCUGGUAGUCCACGCCGUAAACGAUGAUUACUCGAUGUUGGCGAUACACUGUCAGCGUCUAAGCGAAAGCAUUAAGUAAUCCACCUGGGGAGUACGGGCCGCAGGUUGAAACUC